GCAAGUCGAGGGGCAGCACAAGGAGCAAUCUGAGGUGGCGACCGGCGCACGGGUGAGUAACACGUAUGCAACCUGCCUGUAAGCGGGGAAUAACCCGUUGAAAGACGGACUAAUACCGCAUAAUACUAAAUUACUGCAUGGUAAUUUAUUUUAAACAUUUAUGGCUUACAGAUGGGCAUGCGCAUGAUUAGCUAGUUGGAGAGGUAACGGCUCCCCAAGGCAACGAUCAUUAGGGGUUCUGAGAGGAAGGUCCCCCACACUGGUACUGAGACACGGACCAGACUCCUACGGGAGGCAGCAGUGAGGAAUAUUGGUCAAUGGACGAGAGUCUGAACCACGCCAAGUCGCGUGCAGGAAGAAUGUCCUAUGGAUUGUAAACUGCUUUUAAUAGGGAUUAAAGUCGACUACGUGUAGUUGUUUGCAAGUACCUAUAGAAUAAGCAUCGGCUAACUCCGUGCCAGCCGCCGC
rnacentral:rRNA from 1 species